AAAGAAGUCACCUACAACCAGCCCAAAUGACUACCGCCCUGUUGCCCUCACACCUAUAAUCAUGAAGUGCUUUGAGAGGCUGGUUCUCAAGCACAUCAAGGACUGUCUCCCCCGACACUAGACCCCCACCAGUUUGCUUACCGGGCUAACAGAUCGACAGAGGACGCCAUUGCCAUAGCUCUGCACGCUGUGCUGAAACACCUGGAACAACAGCAGAGCUAUGCCAGGAUGCUCUUUGUGGAUUAUAGUUCGGCAUUCAACACCAUCAUUCCGGACAUCCUCAUCACCAAACUGGUCACCCUGGGCCUUCCCCCUCCCACCUGCUCCUGGAUUAAGGACUUUCUGACCAACAGACCCCAGAUGGUGAGACUUGGCCCCCACCUCUCCCCCACCCACACACUGAGCACUGGGUCACCCCAGGGCUGCGUGCUGAGCCCCCUCCUGUACUGCCUCUACACCUCCGACUGCAGCCCAAGCCACAAAAAAAAAACCUCAUCAUCAAAUUCGCAGAUGACACCACCAUGGUCGGACUGAUUUCAAGAGGAGACGAGUCAGCUUACAGAGAGGAGGUGCAGAGACUCUCGACCUGGUGCUCAGACAACAACCUGACACUGAACACUGCCAAAACAAAGGAGAUCAUCAUGGAUUUCAGGAGGAACAGAACUGAGCCGCCCCCCCUCUCCAUCAACGGCAAGUAUGUGGAGAGAGUCCACACAUUUAGGUUCCUGGGAGUCCAGAUCCCAGAUGACCUCUCCUGGACAAACAACAUCACGGCUGUCAUCAAGAAGGCUCAGCAGCGUCUACACCACCUGAGAGUCCUUAGGAGGAACAACUUGGACAGUAAGCUGCUGCUGGCCUUCAACCGCUCAGCCAUCGAGAGCCUGCUGACCUACUGCAUCUCCACCUGGUACGAGAGCUGCACUGAGGCUGACAGAACGAGGCUUAAGAGAACAGUCAGAGUAGCACAGAAGAUUGUUGGCUGUCCUCUCCCGUCCAUGAUGGACAUCUACACCUCCCAGUGUCUCAGCAGAGCCCGUAACAUCACUGCAGACACUUCACAUCCUGGUUCUCAGCUGUUUGAGCUGUUGCCUUCUGGCUGGCGCUACAGAUGUCUCAGAGCAAGAACAAAUAGACUAAGAAAUUGCUUUUUCCCCAUAGCCAUCACCACCCUGAACUCCGGCAUGUAACACUGUUGUAUUUACAUAUACGUAUAUAUAUAGCCAUACCUACUGUGCAAUAAGUUUUUUACCACUGCUCCACUGUGUGGAAUCCAUCACACUCUGUUCGAUCUAUUUAAUAUCCAGUAUUAACAUGCCAACACUACUGUAUUUAUCUUUACAUAUAUGCAUAUAUAGCCAUACUUAUUGUGCAAUAUGUUUUUUAC